AGCAGUCGCGGUAAUUCCAGCUCCAAUAGCGUAUAUUAAAGUUGUUGCAGUUAAAAGCUCGUAGUUGAAUUUCGGGGUUAGUAGGUUGGUCAUGCCUCCGGUAUGUACUGGUCUCACUGAUUCCUCCUUCCUGAUGAGCCGUAAUGCCAUUAAUUUGGUGUUGCGGGGAAUUUGGA
rnacentral:misc_RNA from 1 species